UUUAUGGAGAGUUUGAUCCUGGCUCAGGAUGAACGCUGGCGGCGUGCCUAAUACAUGCAAGUCGAGCGAACGGACGAGAAGCUUGCUUCUCUGAUGUUAGCGGCGGACGGGUGAGUAACACGUGGAUAACCUACCUAUAAGACUGGGAUAACUUCGGGAAACCGGAGCUAAUACCGGAUAAUAUUUUGAACCGCAUGGUUCAAAAGUGAAAGACGGUCUUGCUGUCACUUAUAGAUGGAUCCGCGCUGCAUUAGCUAGUUGGUAAGGUAACGACUUACCAAGGCAACGAUGCAUAGCCGACCUGAGAGGGUGAUCGGCCACACUGGAACUGAGACACGGUCCAGACUCCUACGGGAGGCAGCAGUAGGGAAUCUUCCGCAAUGGGCGAAAGCCUGACGGAGCAACGCCGCGUGAGUGAUGAAGGUCUUCGGAUCGUAAAACUCUGUUAUUAGGGAAGAACAUAUGUGUAAGUAACUGUGCACAUCUUGACGGUACCUAAUCAGAAAGCCACGGCUAACUACGUGCCAGCAGCCGCGGUAAUACGUAGGUGGCAAGCGUUAUCCGGAAUUAUUGGGCGUAAAGCGCGCGUAGGCGGUUUUUUAAGUCUGAUGUGAAAGCCCACGGCUCAACCGUGGAGGGUCAUUGGAAACUGGAAAACUUGAGUGCAGAAGAGGAAAGUGGAAUUCCAUGUGUAGCGGUGAAAUGCGCAGAGAUAUGGAGGAACACCAGUGGCGAAGGCGACUUUCUGGUCUGUAACUGACGCUGAUGUGCGAAAGCGUGGGGAUCAAACAGGAUUAGAUACCCUGGUAGUCCACGCCGUAAACGAUGAGUGCUAAGUGUUAGGGGGUUUCCGCCCCUUAGUGCUGCAGCUAACGCAUUAAGCACUCCGCCUGGGGAGUACGACCGCAAGGUUGAAACUCAAAGGAAUUGACGGGGACCCGCACAAGCGGUGGAGCAUGUGGUUUAAUUCGAAGCAACGCGAAGAACCUUACCAAAUCUUGACAUCCUUUGACAACUCUAGAGAUAGAGCCUUCCUCUUCGGGGGACAAAGUGACAGGUGGUGCAUGGUUGUCGUCAGCUCGUGUCGUGAGAUGUUGGGUUAAGUCCCGCAACGAGCGCAACCCUUAAGCUUAGUUGCCAUCAUUAAGUUGGGCACUCUAAGUUGACUGCCGGUGACAAACCGGAGGAAGGUGGGGAUGACGUCAAAUCAUCAUGCCCCUUAUGAUUUGGGCUACACACGUGCUACAAUGGACAAUACAAAGGGCAGCGAAACCGCGAGGUCAAGCAAAUCCCAUAAAGUUGUUCUCAGUUCGGAUUGUAGUCUGCAACUCGACUACAUGAAGCUGGAAUCGCUAGUAAUCGUAGAUCAGCAUGCUACGGUGAAUACGUUCCCGGGUCUUGUACACACCGCCCGUCACACCACGAGAGUUUGUAACACCCGAAGCCGGUGGAGUAACCUUUUAGGAGCUAGCCGUCGAAGGUGGGACAAAUGAUUGGGGUGAAGUCGUAACAAGGUAGCCGUAUCGGAAGGUGCGGCUGGAUCACCUCCUUUCU
rnacentral:rRNA from 1 species